UUUAAACGAGAAGCUUGAUUUUUUUUAUAUGAAGUUGGACUAAAUCUAAAUCAUUUCUGAAAACUUUAGGGUGGGGGGGGGGCUGCCCCAUUAUUUCAAUAAA